rnacentral:misc_RNA from 1 species
GUACCUUCAAGCUCUGCUUGGUGUUGGGUGUUUGUUCCGCUGCGCGCGUGAACUCGCCUCAAAUCAAUUGGCAGCCGGCAAUCUGGUGUUUGAGCGCAGCACAUCUUGCGCUCUUCUCUAUAUUGCGGCGUCCAUAAAGCCUACAACUAUGCGC